CAAUAGCGUAUAUUUAAGUUGUUGCAGUUAAAAAGCUCGUAGUUGGAUUUCGGAUGGGAUUUGCCGGUCCGUCGUUACGAUGUGCACUGGCCAGUCCUAUCUUGUUGUCGGGGACUAGCUCCUUGGAUUCACUUCCUGGGACUAGGAGCUGACGAGGUUACUUUGAGUAAAUUAGAGUGUUCAAAGCAAGCCUACGCUCUGAAUACAUUAGCAUGGAAUAACACGAUAGGACUCUGGCUUAUCUUGUUGGUCUGUGAGACCAGAGUAAUGAUUAAGAGGGACAGUCGGGGACAUACGUAUUUCAUUGUCAGAGGUGAAAUUCUUGGAUUUAUGAAAGACGAACUUCUGCGAAAGCAUUUGUCAAGGAUGUUUUCAUUAA
rnacentral:rRNA from 1 species